rnacentral:rRNA from 1 species
UAGAGUUUGAUUAUGGCUCAGAUUGAACGCUGGCGGCAGGCUAAACACAUGCUAGUCGUGCGCCUAACAGGAGAAGCUUGCUUCUCGCUGACGAGCGGCGGACGGGUGAGUAAUACUUAGGAAUCUACCUAGUAGUGGGGGAUAGCUCGGGGAUACUCGAAUUAAUACCGCAAACGACCUACGGGAGAAAGGGGGCAACUUGUUGCUCUCGCUAUUAGAUGAGCCUAAGUCGGAUUAGCUAGAUGGUGGGGUAAAGGCCUACCAUGGCGACGAUCUGUAGCUGGUCUGAGAGGAUGAUCAGGGACACCGGGACUGAGACACGGCCCGGACUCCUACGGGAGGCAGCAGUGGGGAAUAUUGGACAAUGGGGGCAACCCUGAUCCAGCCAUGCCGCGUGUGUGAAGAAGGCCUUUUGGUUGUAAAGCACUUUAAGCAGUGAAGAAGACUCUAUGGUUAAUACCCAUAGACGAUGACAUUAGCUGCAGAAUAAGCACCGGCUAACUCUGUGCCAGCAGCCGCGGUAAUACAGAGGGUGCAAGCGUUAAUCGGAAUUACUGGGCGUAAAGCGAGCGUAGGUGGCUUGAUAAGUCAGAUGUGAAAGCCCCGGGCUUAACCUGGGAACGGCAUCUGAUACUGUUAGGCUAGAGUAGGUGAGAGGAAGGUAGAAUUCCAGGUGUAGCGGUGAAAUGCGUAGAGAUCUGGAGGAAUACCGAUGGCGAAGGCAGCCAACUGGCAUCAUACUGUUUCUGAGGUUCGAAAGCGUGGGUAGCAAUCAGGAUUAGAUACCCUGGUAGUCCACGCCGUAAACGAUGUCUACUAGUCGUUGGGUCCCUUGAGGACUUAGUGACGCAGCUAACGCAAUAAGUAGACCGCCUGGGGAGUACGGCCGCAAGGUUAAAACUCAAAUGAAUUGACGGGGGCCCGCACAAGCGGUGGAGCAUGUGGUUUAAUUCGAUGCAACGCGAAGAACCUUACCUGGUCUUGACAUAUCUAGAAUCCUGCAGAGAUGCGGGAGUGCCUUCGGGAAUUAGAAUACAGGUGCUGCAUGGCUGUCGUCA